rnacentral:rRNA from 1 species
GAGCGGAACCCGAAAAGUACGUCUCAGUUCGGAUUGGAGUCUGCAACUCGACUCCAUGAAGCUGGAUUCGCUAGUAAUCGCGCAUCAGCCAUGGCGCGGUGAAUACGUUCCCGGGCCUUGUACACACCGCCCGUCAAGCCAUGGAAGCCGGGGGUGCCUGAAGUGCGUGACCGCAAGGAGCGCCCUAAGGUAAAACCGGUGACUGGGGCUAAGUCGUAACAAGGUAGC